AAAAAAAAGCAAUUACUCAAUUUUAUUUGAGGGUAUCAGAGUAAAGAGAGCUUAAAAUUGUAAAAUUGAAUACUAAAACAUGUAUAAUUUUCCAUCCACUUCCACUAACAUAAUAGGUGCGUAUUCUGUCAGUUAAAAUAUUUGUUUGGGCUUUUAACAUUAUAUAUUUGCAGAAGCCAUAAUUAGAAAAACAAAACAAGAGAUGAAUUUGAACCAGGCUAUUUCAGGAUUCUCACAUAUGUGCUUGUAAUUAGUCUGGUAAUCACUUCUGUGUAUCUCCGAGCAAAACAUUUGCCUCAUUUUAACCUCCUUAUAAUGAGAUCCAGAGGGGAAAGACUUGGAAUGGAAUCAAUGCAUCUCAAUGGGGGUUCUCACAUUGGUCAUGCAAGUUAAAGCAGGUGCUGCAGUUUGUCUCCAGUCGGUUCACAUUGUUUCUACUGUGGACUGGCCUUAGAUUUGUGUAGUGUUGCCAUGUCCUGUAUAUGUUGUGCUUCCUGAAAUUUGAACACACCAACAAAAAACAAAACAAAACACUAGAUGUUUUUCCUUUUACUUGUGAUGGUUCAGACAGUUGGGCUUUCAAAUGAAUAUUGCAAAGAGAUCAUGCAAACCCCUGUGAGGCAGAACUUGUCACUAUAGUAUAGAAUAUCUCUGUUACUAUUCUAAUAUGGCACAGCUAGCUGGACAAGAUUUGGUUGCACCCGCCGUCUUGGACAAAUAUAAACCAGACCCUUUUAAGUCCUAGCUUCCUGCUGGGUAUUUAACAAAUUGCAGGGACAGCUACAAUUCAUACCCACGGGGCUAUUCUGCAGUUUGGAUUCAAGUGGGAUGAAUCAGAUUGUGAAGAGAAAACCUGUGUGCUCCAAUGAAACAAACGGAAAAAGAACGUUUACCAAAGCCAAGGAGCUCGGAUAUCUCAACUAACCACAUUCCGCAUCCCGAUACAUGUGUGUGUUCAGGGCAUUAUCAGACUGGUAAGUUUGAAUCAAAGCUUACUGUGCUGUUUUACGCGGAGGUUAGCAGGCUGCUAGAACUAGCCUAGUCAGCUGAAGUUAGCCAAAAAAAAAAAAA